rnacentral:rRNA from 1 species
GCGAAACCGUGUGAUCUACCCAUGGGCAGGCUGAAGCUGUAGUAACAUACAGUGGAGGGCCGAACCGGUUGACGUUGAAAAGUCUUCGGAUGACCUGUGGGUAGGGGUGAAAGGCCAAUCAAACUCGGAAAUAGCUCGUACUCCCCGAAAUGCAUUUAGGUGCAGCGUUGAUCCAUAGUUUUAUAGAGGUAGAGCUACUGAUUGGAUGCGGGGGCUUCACCGCCUACCAAUUCCUGACAAACUCCGAAUGCUAUGAAAUGUUAAUCAGCAGUGAGGGCAUGGGUGCUAAGGUCCAUGUCCGAGAGGGAAAGAACCCAGACCAUCAGCUAAGGUCCCAAAAUAUAUGUUAAGUUGAAAUAACGAGGUUGGACUGCCCAGACAGCUAGGAUGUUGGCUUGGAAGCAGCCAUUCAUUUAAAGAGUGCGUAACAGCUCACUAGUCGAGCGGUCCGGCAUGGAUAAUAAUCGGGCAUAAACAUAUUACCGAAGCUAUGGCAUCGAAAGAUGGGUAGGGGAGCAUUGUAGUGUCGUCGAAGGUGUGUCGUGAGGCAUGCUGGAGAAGCUACAAAAGAAAAUGUAGGCAUAAGUAACGAUAAUGCGGGCGAGAAACCCGCACUCCGAAAAACCAAGGUUUCCUCAGCUAUGCUAAUCAGCUGAGGGUCAGUCGGGGCCUAAGGCGAACCCGAAAGGGACAGUCGAUGGACAACGGGUUAAUAUUCCCGUACCCGCUCACAUUAAAAGCGACGGAGGCGCGGCGUUGGUGCGCACUGACAGAAUAGUGCGUUGAACUCUACGAAAGUAGAGGAUAGUACGAUGAGGCUACGGCCAAGUCGAUAAUCCAGCAUAGCGACUUCCUAGAAAAGCAAGUGAAGCGGCCCGUACCGUAAACCGACACAGGUAGUCGAGGAGAGUAUCCUAAGGUGCUCGAGUGAUCCGUGGUUAAGGAACUAGGCAAAUUAGCCCUGUAACUUCGGGAGAAAGGGCCCCCUCUUCGGAGGGGCGCAGUGAAAUGGCCCAGGCGACUGUUUAGCAAAAACACAGGACUAUGCUAAGUUGAAAGAC